rnacentral:sRNA from 2 species
CGACUUUAUGCGACAUCGUCCAACCUGUUUGGUAUCGCGAGAGAAAAAUCUCCAUACCAAUUCCUCCCUGCCAGCAAUGCCUAAAACAGUGUUAUCUCUGGAGCGAUCAGCAGGAGAUAACAUUCCCACGGAAACAUCCCGCUAGCGAAGAAGGUUCUUUUCCAGUUGGUUAAUUUAUUAUAUAUUAUUACUAUAUAUCAGCGUUGGUUAUCAUCCAUGUAUAGAAACGACAUAUUCUGCAGGAACUGCAAUUCCACCUCUGCAUCUUGUGUUGCCUGAACAAGAGAACGAAAAUUCAGAUUCGAGACUCUCUCUCUCGGGAAGCAGAGCUGGGAUAUAUAAUAAUAUCUCAUAAUAAGGUGAGGGAAGAAUGAAAGGGAAGUGAUACUUUAAACAUAGGAACAUGGAAGACAAGGGCAGUGAGCAGCAACCAUCCCAUAGGCAAUACAGAUAAAAUCGAAAACUGAGCCUUUCCCAAAAAAAAAAAAAAAGAGCAUCCACUACAUGAAAAAUCUUGACUCGUCGCGAUUGGGGGGUAUAUACACAGACUCAGAGAGAAACGCGAAAACCGGAAUGACGAAAUAAUCGAAAGAGAGAAAAGCAUUAAGCAUUCGACGAAAGAGACAAGAGGAGGAAACGAUGAAAAUAAAAAGCGGGGGAACAAAAACAAAGAAAAAGAAAAAAGAAAUCGAACAAAAACGCCCCCAUCAUGACCAUUGCCUCCCAACCCAAUCCCAAUGGACUAGGACCAGCCAUAAAACCAUUUAAAGGCAGAAGAACAACACGAAGGAGGAAAAAAAAGGGAUACAAAUCGAGCCGGGCCCCCACUUAGUCCUCCCGCUGCAACAUAUCGACCUCUCGAUAGAGGUGCACCGGAUCAUCGAAAACCCUCCACACAUCAUCCGGGACGCCCUCAAACGCUUUAAGAAAGCGCUUCUCCUUGUUCUUCUCCUCCAUAUUCGCCACGUCAGUGACUCGCCGGAUAUAUAUGGCGCGCACCCACUGUUUAUGCCUGCGAUAUAUCUCUGCAUAUGCCUCCGGAUCACUCUGCGUCGAGUCGCCGAUGCAGAUGACCCUCCGCUUUGGGAACCAGCGGUACAGCUUCUCCAUGCGAUCGACUUUAUACGCUUGAGUCCCCUUCGUGAACGAUUUCAGGAGCCCGCUCAGGUCCAUCCAGGAGUGGUUGCGCAGCAUGAGUGUUCCGGGGGGAUACUCUUGGCGGAGGAAAGAUCGGAGGAAGGGGUAGAGAUUGUACGGUGAGGAGGAGAGGUAGAACCACGUUGGUGCGAGUUCUUUGUCGAUG